ACUGCUCAGUAACACGUGGACAACCUAACCUAAGGUGGGGGAUAACCCCGGGAAACUGGGGAUAAUACCCCAUAGGCUAUGAAUGCUGGAAUGCUUCGUAGUUGAAAGGUGAGCCGCCAUAGGAUGGGUCUGCGGCCGAUUAGGUAGUUGUUGGGGUAACGGCCCAACAAGCCUGUAAUCGGUACGGGUUGUGGGAGCAAGAGCCCGGAGAUGGAUUCUGAGACACGAAUCCAGGCCCUACGGGGCGCAGCAGGCGCGAAAACUUUACAAUGCGGGAAACCGUGAUAAGGGAACUCCGAGUGCCCGUUAAAUCGGGCUGUCCAUCAGUUUAAAAAACUGGUGAAGAAAGGGCCGGGCAAGACCGGUGCCAGCCGCCGCGGUAAUACCGGCGGCUCGAGUGGUGGCCACUAUUACUGGGCUUAAAGCGUUCGUAGCUGGUUUGUUAAGUCUCUGGGGAAAUCUUCCGGCUUAACCGGAAGGCGUCUCAGGGAUACUGGCAGACUAGGGACCGGAAGAGGUGAGGGGUACUUCAGGGGUAGGAGUGAAAUCCUGUAAUCCUUGAGGGACCACCUGUGGCGAAGGCGCCUCACCAGGACGGCUCCGACAGUGAGGGACGAAAGCUGGGGGAGCAAACCGGAUUAGAUACCCGGGUAGUCCCAGCCGUAAACGAUGUGCGUUAGGUGUAUCGGUGACCACGAGUCACCGAGGUGCCGAAGAGAAAUCGUGAAACGUACCGCCUGGGAAGUACGGUCGCAAGGCUGAAACUUAAAGGAAUUGGCGGGGGAGCA
rnacentral:rRNA from 1 species